AACAGUUCUUCGAAAUCAAAAAAGAUAAAAUAAAAAUACUAAACCCUAACCUGCUCACCGAUAACCUCUAUUAGUCUCUGACCACGGAUGGUGAACCAAAACGGUGGAAAAAACGUAGUAUCUCCAUGUUCUUUCUUCUUUGCUACGAUUUUUGCCGAAAAGAAUAAAUAAACCUAUUGGGAUUUUUACAAGGUGAAUUUUUUUUGGAGUUAGUAUAUUCUGAUUGCUAGAUCGACCCUUCGGAUUAUUGCAGUAACACUGUCUUUGAGGAUGCCACACCCGAAUUGUAACACUGUCUUUGAGGAUGCCACACCCGAAUUGGUUAGGAACUUCUUCUGGGAUGAAGAUUUCCGGUCCAAUCAGGAUGCAAUAUUAUGCUCAUACAUUCUAAGACGUAAGAGGAAUGUCCUACCGAAGGAACUAUGGUAGUCCAUUGUACACAUAAGAUUUGGUGAUUAUCUUAUGCUCUUCAUACUUUAUGGACUAGGCUUGACUCAUGUUCUUAGUAGAUCAUUUUGGUGAUAGUAUUCUUCUAAAUUCUAUAUUUUGGUAAAGUUUCUCUUCCUCCACAACGACAGAGAAUACAUAAUAGACGAAUAUGGAAAGCAGGAAGACCAUAUUGGUGUCGCUAAGGCACAAGCAUUAGCUGCUUUAUAAAUCAUAUGGAAUUCAACAUAGAGAAUAGUCAAACUCAUGGUUAUGCCUACUGCACUCAUGAAGAACAACGGAAGAUGCGAUUGAACCUCGACUUAGAACCAGGAAUGUGUUGUAAUUUUGCGUAUGACUGUUCAACAAAUUGAUUUGGAACAAGGUUUCUUCAUGUUUAAACGAAAAAAGUAGAGAGAAGACUCUCUGGACUACUUUAGUGAUUAGUGUGAAACUUUUGUAUAUUCCCCUUUCCGUUAAGAAUAACUCAAUAGCGAUAAUUUAGCUUUUUCUUUGUUCCAUGA